rnacentral:rRNA from 1 species
GAGCGAGCGGAACCAGCAGAAUCACUUCGGUGAGGACGCUGGGAAAGCGAGCGGCGGAUGGGUGAGUAACACGUGGGGAACCUGCCCUUAAGUCUGGGAUACCACUUGGAAACAGGUGCUAAUACCGGAUAAGAAAGCAGUUCGCAUGAACAGCUUUUAAAAGGCGGCGCAAGCUGUCACUAAAGGAUGGACCCGCGGUGCAUUAGCUAGUUGGUAAGGUAACGGCCCACCAAGGCAAUGAUGCAUAGCCGAGUUGAGAGACUGAUCGGCCACAUUGGGACUGAGACACGGCCCAAACUCCUACGGGAGGCAGCAGUAGGGAAUCUUCCACAAUGGACGCAAGUCUGAUGGAGCAACGCCGCGUGAGUGAAGAAGGUUUUCGGAUCGUAAAGCUCUGUUGUUGGUGAAGAAGGAUAGAGGUAGUAACUGGCCUUUAUUUGACGGUAAUCAACCAGAAAGUCACGGCUAACUACGUGCCAGCAGCCGCGGUAAUACGUAGGUGGCAAGCGUUGUCCGGAUUUAUUGGGCGUAAAGCGAGCGCAGGCGGAAGAAUAAGUCUGAUGUGAAAGCCCUCGGCUUAACCGAGGAACUGCAUCGGAAA